rnacentral:sRNA from 1 species
AUCAGAGGCCAACCUUUUCGAGGAAGCCCUAGAAAAAUAUGGGAAGGAUUUCACGGACAUUCAGCAAGAUUUUCUCCCGUGGAAGUCGCUGACCAGCAUCAUUGAGUACUACUACAUGUGGAAGACCACCGACAGAUACGUGCAGCAGAAACGCUUGAAAGCAGCUGAAGCUGAGAGCAAGUUGAAGCAAGUUUAUAUUCCCAACUAUAACAAACCAAAUCCAAACCAAAUCAGCGUCAACAACGUCAAGGCCGGUGUGGUGAACGGCACGGGAGCACCGGGCCAGAGCCCUGGGGCUGGCCGAGCCUGCGAGAGCUGUUACAUGUCGUCUCUGCGCAUCUUGUUGGACAUAUUGGAAGAAAUAUGGUGGCUUGAAAAUGCCAACCCGGUUAGAUGGAGAGAGGCCAGGACCAAACCGCAGUAACAUGGUAAGGGGGGGACACCCGCCCCGCCUGCCGUGAGCGUGUCGGCCGCGCGGGUCCUCGGCCCCCGGUCAUGGCGCUGUGUCGGGGCGGUUGCGCCCCCUUCCGCAGAGUCCCCACGGCCUCCCAGCCCGGAGCAGCGGGAGCCCCAAGUUUGCCAUGAAGACCAGGCAGGCUUUCUAUCUGCACACGACAAAGCUGACGCGGAUCGCCCGGCGCCUGUGCCGUGAGAUCCUGCGCCCGUGGCACGCUGCGCGGCACCCCUACCUGCCCAUCAACAGCGCGGCCAUCAAGGCCGAGUGCACGGCGCGGCUGCCCGAAGCCUCCCAGAGUCCACUGGUGCUGAAGCAGGCGGUGCGCAAGCCGCUGGAAGCCGUGCUUCGGUAUCUUG